rnacentral:rRNA from 1 species
UACGUAGGGUGCAAGCGUUAAUCGGAAUUACUGGGCGUAAAGCGUGCGCAGGCGGUUCGUUGUGUCGGCGGUGAAAGCCCCGGGCUUAACCUGGGAAUGGCAUUGGAAACUGGCUCGCUGGAGUGUGGCAGAGGGGGGUGGAAUUCCGCGUGUAGCAGUGAAAUGCGUAGAGAUGCGGAGGAACACCGAUGGCGAAGGCAGCCCCCUGGGCUAACACUGACGCUCAGGCACGAAAGCGUGGGGAGCAAACAGG